AUCACCCCUUAGAGGCAUUGCAGGUGUGGCUGCUGUGUCACCUGCCUGUGCCUCAGAAGGUGGCAGAGAGGAGAGAGGCUCUGUCUCUGCUCAGUGUUCUGACCUGUGAACGUCUGAAUGGUUAGUAGCCUUACACU
ensembl:snoRNA LOC120101292 small nucleolar RNA SNORA17